AACAGAGAUGGCUUCAACCAAAACUUAUUCCCUCGCCUUACUCUCCCAGGAUCAAGCUUUUGAUGAGUUGGCCCUGGUGAGGUGCAGUGCAAUCAAAUGCAUCACUGCGUAAGCUAUUGUAGAAUGUCCUGGGAGAGAGGGAGGGUGGCUGCAUGAGGCGGGAAGAAGGAGAGGGCGUGUGAGUGUGAGGAUCGAUCACACCCGGGUGCUUGGAGAGGACGGAGUGACCAGCCAUGAAAUGGUUGCAUCCCGAGAGGAGGUUUCUGAAUUCGCACCAUGCUGGCAUGUUAUUGGCCCGUUCAAGACCUGAGCCCCGUGUGAAACGCCAUCCUGUCUGCUUGGUGAAGACUUGGGUUGCUGAGGACCUGAACCACGUGUGAAGCUGAGUGAAGGCAGGAAGGAAGGCGGGCCUGGCUCUCAGAUGCCUGAUGAAAGGAAACCAUUUAUUCCUACUUGGUGCACCUCCUUUGCUCCACUUCCACCACCAGCUCUCCUCUGUUCCUCCACUUUGACCAUUCAGAGGCUAAGAAAAGCAGCCCCAGGGAAUCAAAGCCAACAAUUAGGGGAGCUGUGUCAGCCAUUAAAGGCAGGGGGUGUGAAUGACGGUGACCUUGAAGACGACUGCAGACGACUGUUUGUCCACAAAACACAAGUGAUGAAGCGACGGUGAG